CCAGGUGUUGGAGUCCCUGGUGUUGGAGUCCCUGGUGUUGGGGUCCCAGGUGUUGGGGUCCCAGGUGUUGGAGUCCCAGGGGCUGUGUCACCAGCUGCAGCUGCUAAAGCAGCCAAAUAUGGUCUUGGAGCCGUCCCUGGAGCUGUCCCUGGAGCCAUCCCUGGGGUUGUCCCUGGAGCCAUCCCUGGGGUUGUCCCUGGAGCCAUCCCUGGAGCCGUCCCUGGAGUUACUGUCCCUGGAGCCAUCCCUGGAGCCAUCCCUGGAGUUGUCCCUGGAGCCAUCCCCGGAGUUGUCCCUGGAGCUGGCA